rnacentral:tRNA from 1 species
GCCCCUAUCGUCUAGCUGGCCUAGGACACCUCCCUUUCACGGAGGCAACGGGGAUUCGACUUCCCCUGGGGGUA